GACGAACGCUGGCGGCGUGCCUAAUACAUGCAAGUCGAACGCUUCUUUCCUCCCGAGUGCUUGCACUCCAUUGGAAAGAGGAGUUGCGGACGGGUGAGUAACACGUGGGUAACCUACCCAUCAGAGGGGGAUAACACUUGGAAACAGGUGCUAAUACCGCAUAACAGUUUAUGCCGCAUGGCAUAAGAGUGAAAGGUGCUUUCGGGUGUCGCUGAUGGAUGGACCCGCGGUGCAUUAGCUAGUUGGUGAGGUAACGGCUCACCAAGGCCACGAUGCAUAGCCGACCUGAGAGGGUGAUCGGCCACACUGGGACUGAGACACGGCCCAGACUCCUACGGGAGGCAGCAGUAGGGAAUCUUCGGCAAUGGACGAAAGUCUGACCGAGCAACGCCGCGUGAGUGAAGAAGGUUUUCGGAUCGUAAAACUCUGUUGUUAGAGAAGAACAAGGACGUUAGUAACUGAACGUCCCCUGACGGUAUCUAACCAGAAAGCCACGGCUAACUACGUG
rnacentral:rRNA from 1 species